ACUUUUGAAGGAAAACAGUU
rnacentral:tRNA from 1 species